rnacentral:rRNA from 1 species
UACGUAGGGGGCAAGCGUUGUCCGGAUUUAUUGGGCGUAAAGAGCGUGUAGGCGGUUUGGUAGGUCCGUUGUGAAAACUCGAGGCUCAACCUCGAGACGCCGAUGGAAACCAUCAGACUAGAGUCCGGAAGAGGAGAGUGGAAUUCCGGGUGUAGCGGUGGAAUGCGUAGAGAUCCGGAAGAACACCGGUGGCGAAGGCGGUCUGCUGGGGUCGAACUGACGCUGAGGCGCGACAGCGUGGGGAGCAAACAGG